GGGAAAGAAACCGCUGAAGCUAAGAAAAGCUCAGCUAAUUAAAUUUAAACAGCUUCAUGGCUUUCAAAUCAGCUUCUAUACUUCCUUCCUCUAUCUCCAUCUACAAAGAGGUCAGUGCUCAAUACAUUGUUUUUUCCCUUUUGGGUAUGCUUUUGUUCCUCUAAUACUUGUUAUUGUUCAUCUAUUAUAUCAUCUGGUUCAGUUCAAUUGCUGUGUUGACAGGGCAAGUCCAAUGCUUCUCUUAAGGAGGCAAGUUUCUUUGGAGUUUCGGUUUCACUUCCAAGCCACCUCAAGGCUGACUGCAACUAUUCUGUAAUAAGGAGCAAGGUGAGUCCUUUUGUACCUUGUCCUAAAAUCAUGUAAUUUUUGAAAGAACUGCUUAUGACUAGAUGAACAACUUCAACACUAGCAAGUAUAAAGCACAACAGCGAGCUUCUGUAAAUGGUAUCACAGAAAAAGCAAUAAAAAGACUGUUCCUUGAAAUUCCCAAGAGUAAUUUUAUUUCCAGUGGCAGAGAGAACAGGAUAAGAUCUGAAAAGAUAAAAGAGUUAAAUCUAAUAGAAACUAUAAAAGGUUUAUCAUUCAUCCAAAACAUAGGUUUAAGAAUCUAACAAUCAAAUAAUGGGGCCAUUUUCCAUCCACCAAGGUGUUUCUGAAAAGACCACAACACUGAUGUUUGCAAAAUCCUAACACCUCAAUCUAGAUGCUCCAUAAUUGGAAUCACUUUACCUGCAGGAACGCAGCAGAAGCGAGCUACAAUUACUUAUUGGAGCCAUUAAAGCCCAGACAGCUACUACGACUCCAGCAAUCGAUGAGGCAGCACCAGAAGCAAAGAAAACAUUGAGAAAGGGUAAUGUGAUUAUCACUGGAGCCUCAUCUGGCUUGGGCCUGGCCACAGCCAAGGCUUUGGCAGAGACAGGACAAUGGAAUGUAAUUAUGGCAUGUAGGAACUUCCUGAAGGCUGAGAGGGCAGCUAAAUCAGCUGGCAUUGCUAAAGAGAACUACACAGUCAUGCAUCUUGACCUUGCCUCCUUUGAUAGUGUCAGACAGUUUGCAGAUAACUUCCGUCGAUCAGGUAUGCCACUUGAUGUGCUAGUGUGCAAUGCUGCUGUCUACUUACCCACUGCCAAGGAGCCAUCCUUCACCGCUGAAGGGUUUGAACUCAGUGUUGGGACUAACCAUCUUGGUCACUUCCUGCUUGCACGGCUGCUGCUUGACGAUUUGAAGAAAUCAGACUACUCCUCCAAGCGGCUUAUCAUUGUUGGCUCCAUAACAGGUAUACUUGGCUCGCCAAACCCAACACUUGGAAGAGAAUGUUUUAGGGAGGAAAAUUUUUUCUGGGAGAGUAGGAGCAGGAUGGCAAUUUAUACCACAAAGAAAACACAGAAUUAUAUUAAUGCUAUUUGAAGAAAGAAUCACUUGCAGUAUUAUAUGAAACUCUGAACUAAUUAGUGAUACCUUAUAAUGUCUAAGAACUAACCUUGAUGAUUCCAGGAAAUCCAAGUAAGAAGAUAAGUACCCUGAUUAUGCUGUUUCUUGUAUGUGAUUGCAGGAAACACAAACACAUUGGCCGGUAAUGUGCCUCCAAAGGCUAACCUUGGAGAUCUGAGAGGUCUUGCGGGUGGUUUGAAUGGGAUAAACACUUCACCAAUGAUAGAUGGUGGAGAAUUUGAUGGUGCCAAAGCCUACAAAGAUAGCAAAGUCUGUAACAUGCUCACUAUGCAAGAAUUCCACAGGCGUUGUCAUGAGGAGACAGGAAUCACCUUUGCUUCUCUCUACCCUGGUUGCAUUGCAGAAACAGCGUUGUUCAGGGAGCACAUUCCCUUGUUCAGGCUUCUAUUCCCGCCAUUCCAAAAGUACAUUACUAAAGGAUAUGUUUCUGAAGAGGAAGCUGGGAAAAGACUUGCACAGGUUGUGCGUGACCCAACCCUUGCAAAAUCAGGAGUUUACUGGAGCUGGAACAAGUACUCUUCCUCAUUUGAAAAUCAACUGUCAGAAGAAGCCAGUGAUACAGAGAAGGCACGAAAGCUGUGGGAGAUGAGCGAGAAGCUAGUCGGGUUAGCUUAAUUGAAGCCCCAAAGAUAAUCACACAACCCACAGGGACCUAGGAUGCUUUCUGCUCUUGCAAAUGCAAAUAAUAUUUUGAAUGAGAUGAGACAUUGAGCACAUCAAUUUCUGCACUCAAAUGGUCUGUAAAUUUGCAUAUGCCAUAUCUCCCGGAAUGAGACUCGAAAUAAGUGCUAAAUCAGUAAAAUAUUACAAGUGAGACUGUGAGGAUGUAAUAUAGAAAUCUGUUCACCAAGAAAAAACAAAUGCAAGUCUCACUAAGUUCAGAGGCAAACUUCUACAUGUUAAAUCCAAGUAGUACCUACAAUUAUUGAAGAUCCUGAAUGCUAAUAAAGUCACCAGCAACACCUAUGCCUUAAGCACAGAAACAUCGAACGUACUGCAGGUAUCAGAGGCAAUUACAGCUAGAGUAAACGGCGACACACCCUUUGCGCGCCUAGAACUAGUGCUCUAGAAUUUCACAAGAUAAUGUGGUAGGUACUUUUUACUAUUGCGUCUCCUAAAGCAACAAAAUGUGUGCACAAACAAAUCUGCAGCUUUCAAGACGCUUUGGCAAAUAUCUGGAAUCAUUAUUUUCGUCAUCCAAUAUUUGAAAAUCCAGUUCCUCAACUUUUCAUUCUUUCACCAGAAGAGGUUUUGAAUGA
rnacentral:misc_RNA from 1 species